rnacentral:rRNA from 1 species
GAUGAACGCUGGCGGCGUGCUUAACACAUGCAAGUCGAACGAUGAAGCCCAGCUUGCUGGGUGGAUUAGUGGCGAACGGGUGAGUAACACGUGAGCAACCUGCCCCUGACUCUGGGAUAAGCGCUGGAAACGGCGUCUAAUACCGGAUAUGUCCCGUCACCGCAUGGUGUGCGGGUGGAAAGAUUUUUCGGUUGGGGAUGGGCUCGCGGCCUAUCAGCUUGUUGGUGAGGUAAUGGCUCACCAAGGCGUCGACGGGUAGCCGGCCUGAGAGGGUGACCGGCCACACUGGGACUGAGACACGGCCCAGACUCCUACGGGAGGCAGCAGUGGGGAAUAUUGCACAAUGGGCGGAAGCCUGAUGCAGCAACGCCGCGUGAGGGAUGGCGGCCUUCGGGUUGUAAACCUCUUUUAGCAGGGAAGAAGCGAAAGUGACGGUACCUGCAGAAAAAGCACCGGCUAACUACGUG